rnacentral:lncRNA from 1 species
CGAACCGCGGCGACCGGGACGGGCUCCCCCACCCUCUCCCUGGCGGAUCCUUCCUACUUGCCUUCCUCCCCCCGGCAACAAGCCCCCACUACCCACGACGAUCGACAACGACGGCACGGGACCUUCCACCCCGCCAGGGCCAACGAACCCCGCACCACGAGCUGCGUGAGGCGCGAGGGAGCCUCCGAGGGAGGAAUCUGGACCGCGGUGGUGGCCACGGGAACUCGGCCCCAGCCGGCUCUCUUCCCUCUCUGUUUUCGCGGGUGGCGGUGCCGCCCUCUCUCUCUUCCUCACAGCCGGGAGUCCCCCUUCCCCAUGCCACCCAAUGCGUGACCACACAGGGCCUGCGGGGGGAGGGAGAAGGGGCGGGCACGGCGGCAGAGGAGGGCGGACGUCGCCGGUCUGCACUUGGGGGGACGGAGGGCCCCGGCAGGCCACGUCAGGGAACCCCCAGCCAUGCACCCCGAGGAGCCCGGAGGCCACUUGUCCCUCUAAGAAGUUGGGGGACGCCGACCGCUCGGGGGUCACGUAACUAGUUAGCAUGCCAGAGUCUCGUUGGUUAUUGGAAUUAACCAGACAAAUCACUCCACCAACUAAGCCGCAGGCUCCACUCCUGGUGGUGCCCUUCCACCAAUUCCUUUAAGUUUCAGCUUUGCAACCGUACUCCCCCCGGAAC